CCGCGGCCGGAGCUGUCCCCCGGCCAGACCCGGCGAGACGCGAGCGGCGGGAGGGAGCGAGGGAGGGAGGGAGGCGGCGGCGCGCCGGCCCCGCCCGCCCGCCCGCCCGAGCGUGCGACGCAGCCCGGCGCCGAGCCAUGGAGCCUGAGCCGGUGGAGGACUGUGUACAGAGCACACUCGCUGCCUUAUACCCACCCUUCGAAGCCACAGCUCCCACCCUGUUGGGCCAGGUAUUCCAAGUGGUGGAGAGGACUUACCGGGAAGAUGCACUGAGAUACACACUGGACUUCCUGGUACCAGCCAAGCACCUUCUUGCCAAGGUCCAGCAGGAAGCCUGUGCCCAGUACAGCGGAUUCCUCUUCUUCCAUGAGGGCUGGCCCCUCUGCCUGCAUGAGCAGGUUGUGGUACAGCUAGCAGCCCUUCCCUGGCAGCUGCUGCGUCCUGGAGACUUCUACCUGCAGGUGGUACCCUCAGCAGCCCAAGCACCCCACCUGGCACUCAAGUGUCUAGCCCCAGGAGGUGGGCGGGUACAGGAGCUGCCCGUGCCCAGCGAGGCAUGUGCCUACCUGUUCACACCUGAGUGGCUGCAAGGCAUCAACAAGGACCGACCUACAGGUCGCCUCAGCACCUGCCUCCUAUCUGCACCCUCUGGGAUUCAGCGGCUGCCCUGGGCUGAACUCAUCUGCCCACGAUUUGUGCACAAAGGAGGCCUCAUGGUUGGACAUCGGCCAGGCACACUGCCUCCUGAACUGCCAUCAGUACCCCCAGGGCUUCCCAGCCCUCCCCUCUCUGAGGAGGUGCUGGGCACUCGGAGUCCUGGGGAUGGGCACAAUGCUCCAGCUGAAGGACCAGAGGGUGAGUACGUGGAGCUUUUGGAAGUGACGCUGCCUGUCAGGGGAAGUCCCACAGAUGCUGAGGGCUCUUCAGACCUUGCCAGGACUCGGACGGUACCUACCCGCAAGAGUGCUGGAGGGAAAGGCCGGCACCGGAGACACCGGGCAUGGAUGCACCAGAAGGGCCUGGGGGUUCGGGCACAGCACCAGGAUGGAUCACGGCCACCCGGUGAGGGGAGCAGCACUGGAGCCUCCCCUGGGUCUCCCCUAGGAGCUGAAGCUGUCCCAGAGGCAGUAGACGCGGAGGUAUCUGAACCCCCAACAGAGGCUUCGGGGGAAGCUUCUGAAUCCUGCCUCCUGCGGUCAGGGGAUCCUGGAGCAGGCCAGGGGGCUGAAGGACCACCGGGUACCCCUCGGAGAACAGGCAAAGGAAACCGGAGAAAGAAGCGGGCUGCAGGCAGAGGGGCUCUUAGCAGAGGCGGGGACAGUGCCCCACUCAGCCUUGGGGACAAGGAAGAGACUGGCCACCAUGGAGCCCUUGUCAGUCUGCCCUCACCAAAUGAAAACAAGCUUCCAGCAUGCAGCCUGGUUAAGGAUGGGAACAAAGGCUCUGAAAACUCAGAAUCAGAGGCCAAAGAGGAGCUCACAUCCCCAGAUGAAAAAGAGACUCUGCCCCCAGAAAACUAUGGUUCUCCAGAAGAGGGGACCAGAGAAAGACAGCAAAAAGGAUCGAGCCUGGUGUGUGUGGCAGCAUCUGCAGGCUCAGAGGGGCUGCUGUCGGACCCCCCCACACAACCCCUGGAGCCACUGCAGGAAGUGAAAGUAGAGAGCAUCCCAGAAGAGCCCCCUCCAGUCUCCAUCUCUGCUGACUCUGACAUAGCCUGGGAGUUGAUGGCCUCUGGAUUCCUUGUCCUGACUGGAGGGUUGGACCAGAGUGGGCGAGCUCUGCUGACCAUUACCCCACCGUGUCCUCCUGAGGAGCCCCCACCCUCCCAAGACAUGCUGAGCACUGUUCUUCAUUACCUCCACUCACUUCUCAGGCCUGACCUCCAGUUGUUAGGACUGUCUGUCCUGCUGGAUCUUCGUAAAGCACCCCCACUGCCGCCAGCUCUCGUUCCUGCUCUGAGUCAACUUCAGGAUUCAGGAGAUCCUCAUCUUAUUCAACGGUUGCUGAUUCUCACUAAUGAUGACCCUCCCACUGAACUCUGUGGAUUUCAGGGUGCUGAGUGGGUGUCAGAGAAUGAUCUGAAAAGAGUGGCCAAGCCAGAGGAGCUGCAGUGGGACCUAGGAGGUCACAGGGACCCAUCUCCCAGCUACUGGGUAGAGAUACAUAAGGAAGUGGCAAGGCUCUGCAGCCUAUGCCAGGGUGUGCUGAGCUCUGUGCGGCAGGCCAUUGAAGAGCUGGAAAGAGCAGCAGAGUCAGAAGGAGAGGAGGCCGUGGGAAUGCCGGAGCCUCUGCAGAAGGUGCUGGCUGAUCACCGGCUGACGGCACUGCAGAGGGAUGGGGGAGCCAUCCUGAUGAGGCUACGCUCCACCCACAGCAGCAAGUUGGAGGGCCCGGGCCCUGCUACCCUCUAUCAAGAGGUGGACGAGGCCAUUCACCAGCUCGUGCGCCUCUCCAACCUGCAAGUACAGCGGCAGGAGCACCGACAGCGCCUGCGCCACCUCCAGCAGGUGCUGCAGUGGCUCUCGGGCCCAGGAGAGGAGCAGCUGGCCAGUUUUGCUAUGCCCGGUGACUCCCUCCCUGCUCUGCAGGAGACAGAGCUGCGAUUUCGGGCUUUCCACACGGAGGUUCAGGAGCACCUGGCCCAGGCGCGGGAGGCUCUGGCUCUGCAGGAGGACCCUGCCUCCCAGAAGGUUUUGGAUAUCUUCGAGCAGCGGCUGGAGCAGGUGGAGAGUGGCCUCCAUCGGGCCCUGCGGCUUCAGCGCUUCUUCCAGCAGGCACAUGAGUGGGUGGAUGAGGGCUCUGCCCGGCUGGCAGGAGCUGGGCCUGGUCGUGAGGCCCUGCUGGCAGCGCUUGCCCUGCGGCGGGCCCCGGAGCCCAGUGCUGGCACCUUCCAGGAGAUGCGGGCCCUGGCCCUGGACCUGGGCAGCCCGGCAGCCCUGCGAGAGUGGGGCCGCUGCCACGCCCGCUGCCAAGAGCUGGAGAGGAGGAUUCAGCAACAGCUGGGAGAGGAAGCCAGUCCGAGAGGCCACCGGCGGCAGCGGGCAGACAGUGCCAGCAGCGCAGGGACCCAGCGGGGCUCCCAUAGCCCCUCGCCCAGCCUCAGUUCCCUACUCCUUCCUGGCAGCCCUGGCCUACGGGCUGCUCCAUCCCAUUGCUCCCUGGCCCCAUGUGGGGAGGACUGUGAGGAGGAGGCACCCGAGCUGGCUCCAGAAACAGAGGGCAAACCCCCAAGGUCUGUGCUGAUCCGGGGUCUGGAGGUCACCAGCACUGAGGUGGUAGACAGGACGUGCUCGCCGAGGGAACACGUGCUGCUGGGCCGGGCUGGGGGGCCAGACGGACCCUGGGGAUUAGGCACCCCCCGGAUGGAGCGCAAGCGGAGUAUCAGUACCCAGCAGCGUCUGGUGUCUGAACUGAUUGCCUGUGAACAGGAGUAUGUGACCAGCCUGAGCGAGCCUGUACCACCCCCCGGGCCUGAACUGACCCCUGAACUUCGGGGCACCUGGGCUGCUGUCCUGAGCACCCGGGAAAGACUUCGCAGCUUCCACCGGACACAUUUUCUUCGGGAGCUACAGGGCUGUGCUACAUACCCUCUGCGCAUCGGGGCCUGCUUCCUUCGCCAUGGGGACCAGUUCGGCCUUUACGCCCAGUAUGUGAAGCACCGCCACAAACUGGAGAACUGUCUGGCUGCACUCAACCCCCCAUCCAAGGGCUCCACAGAGGGUGGCCCUUACCUGCCCCUGGCCCUGCAGCAGCCCCUGGAACAACUGACUCGGUAUGGGCGGCUCCUGGAGGACCUUCUGAGGGAAGCUGGGCCUGAGCCGAGUUCUGAGCGCCAGGCCCUCGGAGCUGCUGUGCAGCUGCUCCAGGAACAAGAGGCCCGCGGCAGAGACCUGCUGGCUGUGGAGGCCGUGCGAGGCUGCGAGAUAGAUCUGAAGGAGCAGGGACAGCUCUUGCAUCGGGACCCCUUCACUGUCAUCUGUGGCCGGAAGAAGUGCCUUCGCCAUGUCUUUCUCUUUGAGCACCUCCUCCUUUUCAGCAAGCUCAAGGGCUCUGAGGGGGGCUCUGAGACCUUUGUUUACAAACAGGCAUUUAAGACUGCUGACAUGGGGCUGACAGAAAACAUCGGAGACAGCGGGCUCUGCUUUGAACUGUGGUUCCGCCGGCGGCGUGCACGAGAGGCCUACACCUUGCAGGCAACCUCACCAGAGAUCAAACUCAAGUGGACAAGCUCCAUUGCCCAGCUGCUGUGGAGACAGGCAGCCCACAACAAGGAGCUUCGAGUGCAGCAGAUGGUGUCCAUGGGCAUUGGGAAUAAACCCUUCCUGGACAUCAAAGCCCUGGGGGAACGGACACUGAGUGCCCUGCUUACUGGGAGAGCUGCCCGCACCCGGGCCUCCGUGGCCGUGUCAUCCUUUGAGCAUGCCGGCCCGUCCCUUCCCGGCCUCUCACCGGGAGCCUGCUCCCUGCCUGCCCGCGUCGAGGAGGAGGCCUGGGAUCUGGACGUCAAGCAAAUUUCCCUGGCACUCCUUGAGUUUCUAUGGAAACUGCCUCAGCAUCCUGUUGUACCCUCCUGGUUCACCACGGCAAUCCUUAGUUUCCUGUCGCUUCUUCCCUGGUUGCUCUAAUGGUGCUGCUGACAAUUUCCUGCCUCUUGGUAGGGGGGUUCUCUUGCAACUGGAUUGCUAUGGUGACUCACAGCUUCCUGUUGCUAUGGAGCUUUUUCUUCCCUGAUGGAGCUGCUUGGUUGCUUAAGAGUCACGCCCGAGCCCUGAGUGACCCCACCACACCGCUGUGACCCAGAGCAGAUGCGGCACAUUCUAGGCUGGAGUGGCAGUGGCAUGUAGGACUAGCAGAGCACGGAAGAGCAGAGCACUGAACUCCUCUGCAUUCUGGACAGGACAGAGGGUCGAGGACCACGGCAUGCCCUGCUACUGCUGUCUCUAGCUCUCCUCUGCUUGGUGCCUUCUGCAUCAGGACCCAGCACGGCCACACCUCCUUGCCUUGGUACCCGAGGUGGGAAUUUCCCCUCUUCUAGUCCUUCCCCAUCCUGGGCUACUGCACACCCCAGGACACCACUGCGCCAUCCGCCUGUUUGCUCUUCUCAUCCCAACUCUCAGAGAAGACACAUUUCUGCCAGGCCAAGGAAGCUCCUUGGUGACUCCCAUCUUGUGGUGUCACAUAAAGUGAAGCUAUACAAACUAUAAUACCAGAGGGGAGCAGGAACUGCAGACUUUAUAUAUGUAAUUACUGUUAUUAUAUUACUAUUAUUAUAUUAAAUAUACUCACACUUUGCCUGCCAGGA